CCUUAUGCCAUCAGAGAUGCAAAGAUUUUAGUAAAUAAAAAUCGACAACAGUGCAGAAACCAGGCAGGUAUAGCUUUCUGGAUUCAGAAAUAGUUAGCACACUGCAUUCAUUUGAAACUCCCUGAUAUGAGAGAUGCAAAGAUUUUAGUAAAGAAAAAAAUUGACAGUAGUAGCGAAUUCAGGUAGCUAUAGUUUUCUGGGUUCAGAGGAGUUAGUACACUGCAUUCAGAUAAUUGACAUUCAGAUAAGGAAAAACUUCCUUCUGUCAUCAGACAUGUAAAGAUUUUAGUAAACAUAAAUUGACAACACUAAAAAAUCAGGCGCCUAUAGCUUUCAGGGGUCAGAGUAGUUAGUUCGCUGCAUUCAGUUGAAAACUCCUUCAUACGAGAGAUACAUAGAUUUUAAUAAAGAAAAAUUGACUGCACUAAAGAAAUUAGGGAGCUAUAGCUCUCUGGGUUCAGAGGAGUAAGUACAGUGCAUUCAGAUAAUUCAUGCUUACUAUUUGGUGUCUGCUGCACCAAGCAGGACACCUUGCUCAACUCGAAUCAGUGUGUUUCAGAAGGCUGUUAAGAAUUUGAGAGAGGAUGGGAAAUGCUGUUGGACAAAUACAAGAUGAGAACACAUCCUUACAUGACAGCCUUUUGAGAUUAGGCAGAAAUGCUGCUGGGCAUCUAAAUGAUCAGCUUGCUGCAACUUCAAGCAGAACUGGAUGUGAAAUAUCAGAUGGAGAGAGAAUCCCGUGCAUCGGCAUUGAAUGUGCAGAUGGGUUUGGUUGAAGGGAUUAUUGACAUCUCUGACAGUGAACGCAACGAUGAAGUUAAUUUUGAAGAGUGGUCUGAUCCUGAGCAUGCUAAACUGGUUGAGACAGAUAGAAGGUUGAGAGAGCAAGAGGAGAAAGAUGCAGAGGUCGUGAAGAUGUAUCAGGAAAUGUAUGGCAAAAAUGAUGGGCACCAAGAAGUCUCAGGCACGGAUAAUGAUUCACUUGUUGAGAAGCACCGUAAGUUAAGGGAGCAAGAGGAAAAAGACACCAAGGUUGCAAUGAUGUAUCAAACACUGUAUGAUCAAAAUGCUACUGAAGCUCAGAUCACCAAUGUGCCAGCAAACAGAAUUCUUGCUCAGGCGGCAAAACCUGCAGGUCGGGAAAGAAGCCCCAUGGAGGGUGGGCGUAGAGGACGGGGGUGCGUUGGUGGUGCCUCCAGGGCAGGGAACAUGAAUUCCAUGAAGUGGUCUUGGAGGCGGAAAGGGAAGAAGUCGGAAACGGGAUCCAAGGGGCAGAGGAGAGUGAGGUUCUCGAACACUGUGGAGACGAUAUGCCCAUCGAAAUCCUGAGUGAAGACAGUUCUAGUGAUGAUGGAAUGCAGCAAGCGAAGAUGAUCACGAGCCUGCACAUCUACCUGGUAGCAACGUAGAUGGUUUGGAUACAUUAGUUGCAAAUGACAUCGUGGCGGCGAGGUCAAAGGAGGGUGGAAGAACCACCGUCAGCCAUGUCAGGAGUGCAGCACGCGGUGGAGUUGACGCUGCUCCGCACGGACAUGGGACUCACAAAGGCCCUGGGACCAGCCGAUAUCGGGAGUAGCCCAUGUGGGAGAAUUGAGCAUCGCGAGAGCGAACCUGGAUACACAUUUCAGUGGUUCAUCAGGUUAGUGCAAGCCUGGAUGGUCGACAGUAUUUGUAGCAAAGAUGAUGUUGGAAAUGUUGAAGGUGCACAUAAUUUUCCAAAAAAUGAAUAAUUCGGCAUGGCGGGGAGGGUGGCAGUCCUCCGGUUAAGAUUCGGUGGUAUAGCCUUUGAUUAGUCGGCGCAUUUCAUCAGCAAUAUCAAUGUGAUGCUGAUAAGCACCUAAAAUUCCUGAUUAGGAUUAUGAUGAUUCUUUAUAGUUCUCUCAGCAAAAGAGUACAUUUCCCAUACUGUUGCUUCUGGGUUGAUCUGCUAGAAUAGUGGUAGCAAGCCAUCGCUUGAAUUCAUCAAAGGACUCAGUAACUUCUACGGCAUGCUUAGCAGAGAUAUGUGAUGUUGGUGCUGGGGGGUCUCCGGUGUGUUCUGAUGUAUGGCUACGUGUGGGUACGUCCUCAGCAGCCGUCUCCCCCAGUAAGGAAUAAGGACAGUAAGAUUGACCAGUCAUAGAAAGCAUGAAAAAUCUUGAAAAUGUAACUGUGACUCGUAGGACUGGUCAAAUAAAGAUUCCUGUGAAAUGUUUGGAAAAAUACUGAUGUCAACAACUUCCUUUGUGCACAGUUAUGCAGUAAUGCUGGAUAUAAUCACAUCUGCUGGCUUACAUGCAAAAAGGACCAACAACGCCAGGACAAGCAGGUGGUUAGUGCCGGCGAGGAGCACCAAUGUGCAUCUGCUGAAUCUGUGGCUGAGCAGGUAGAUCUGCCGAUGUGGGGCUUGGUGCUCGAUCUCGGUGCCGGCAGGGAAAUGCUGCUCCCGGCGAGAUCACUGGUGGAGAGACGAAGCUGGAUGCACUGAUAGAGGCUGCUGCAAUCCGUGCCGGUGGGAGAGGCCAUGGCGACUCAGCUCCGGCAGGUACGUGUAACUGGAUCUCAUGAAUGAACAGAGUACAGCCUGCGGGCAUGGGGCAAAACAAGGUAAAUCUAGUAUCAGAAAGCACGUAUUAUGUUUGUGGAACUGAAAUCUUACAUUUUGUUGAAGCACUUGUAGAACCGGACUCCAGCCCGGGAGGGCCGGGACGACGAAGGUGACGACCUAGCCACCACAAUCAGGACAAGGAAUGAGCAGGAGUAUCUCCCUAGGGCGCGAGGAAGAAGAUGAGGAGGUCAUGACCGGCGAUCUGGUUUCUUGCGGCGCGUUGGUUGAAGAGAAUGAGGAGAGGAGAAGAGCAGGAAGGAUCUUGAGGAGGGGGUGGUUGGUGAGUUGCAGUAAAUAAGGGGCUGGUGUGGACGGCGCCGUUAGUGGGAUGGGGGCUGAGCCGUGGCCCUUGGUUGCAGGCCCGUCUGAGCCGGUUACUCUGGGAUGACGCCCGUGACAUUAAUUGGGGUAGGUAGGCGGGCCCCGCUCCGGAAAUAGAUUGGCUGAAUACAUAGGAAUAUACUAGCACAAAUGUCCGUGCGUUGCAACGGGGAGGAAAAUUAUGUGUGUUCAUCAAAAAGUUUACCAGAGCCA